rnacentral:rRNA from 1 species
CCUACGGGUGGCUGCAGUGGGGAAUAUUGGACAAUGGGCGAAAGCCUGAUCCAGCCAUGCCGCGUGUGUGAAGAAGGCCUUCGGGUUGUAAAGCACUUUCAGUGGGGAAGAAAGCCUUGGGGCUAAUACCCUCGAGGAAGGACAUCACCCACAGAAGAAGCACCGGCUAACUCCGUGCCAGCAGCCGCGGUAAUACGGAGGGUGCGAGCGUUAAUCGGAAUUACUGGGCGUAAAGCGCGCGUAGGCGGUCUGAUAAGCCGGUUGUGAAAGCCCCGGGCUCAACCUGGGAACGGCAUCCGGAACUGUCAGGCUAGAGUGCAGGAGAGGAAGGUAGGAUUCCCGGUGUAGCGGUGAAAUGCGUAGAGAUCGGGAGGAAUACCAGUGGCGAAGGCGGCCUUCUGGACUGACACUGACGCUGAGGUGCGAAAGCGUGGGUAGCAAACAGGAUUAGAUACCCGAGUAGUC